rnacentral:piRNA from 1 species
UGGAGGUAAUGACAGCCUCUGUCUACUUUG